CGGAAUCGAAGUGUGUUUUCUCCAUUUUUGGCGAAACGCAUAUUCAUUCCACUCACAUUAUCUUUAAAUCACACACAUUCCGACACGUGUUCCGGGGUGCUCCAACAGUAAAACUAUUUACAUUAAGUGGAUAGAUGUUAGGGGUCGGAUUCAUGGGGGAUGUGGAGGCCUAACC
rnacentral:misc_RNA from 1 species